CCUACGGGUGGCAGCAGUGGGGAAUAUUGGGCAAUGGGCGCAAGCCUGACCCAGCAACGCCGCGUGAAGGAAGAAGGCUCUCGGGUUGUAAACUUCCUUUCUUAGGGACGAAGCAAGUGACGGUACCUGAGGAAUAAGCGACGGCUAACUACGUGCAAGCAGUCGCGGCAAUACGUCGGUGGCAAGCGUUAUCCGGAUUUACUGGGUGUAAGGGGCGUGUAGGCGGGACUGCAAGUCAGAUGUGAAAACCACGGGCUCAACCUGUGGCCUGCAUUUGACACUGUAGUUCUUGAGUACUGGAGAGGCAGACGGAAUUCCUGGUGUAGCGGUGAAAUGCGUAGAUAUUAGGAAGAACACCAGUGGCGAAGGCAGUCUGCUGGACAGCAACUGACGCUGAGGCGCGAAAGCGUGGGGAGCAAACAGGAUUAGAUACCCUUGUAGUC
rnacentral:rRNA from 1 species